AACAUAACAAGGGUGCUCCUAAAUCAGUUUGUUGGAGCACCGAAGCUGGGGAACAUGACAACGGUGCUCCUAAAUCAGUUUGUUGGAGCACGCUCUCUUCAUUUUCGGAACAUAACUAGGCUCAACAAUUUUGCUUGGGUUCAUUUUAUAGGCGGGUUUCGGGUUUAGUGAACAUCUGACCGCUUAAACUAAAUCUCACACGCGCACGCGCACGCGCACACACACUCUCUCUCUCUCUCUCUUUAAAUCGUCGCCCCUCUCACAGAAAUCCCCAAAAGCAAAAACCUAGUUCCGCUCCCUAAAAUCGCCGUGGCCAAAAUCAUCGUCUUGUUGUCGAUCUCAUCACCGAACUCGUCGCUGUUAUUGUCGCCAAUCUCUUCGCUGUUUUCAUCUUAGAUCUCAUCUCCAUUCUCGUCGGCGAGUUCGUUGCUAAGCUCAUCGUCGAGCUCUGAUUUCAUUGUCGAUCUGGUUGUUGAGCUCACUACUGACCUCAUCGUCGUCCCCAAUCUGGUCUCCGACCUCGUUCGUGUGUUCUUCCUCAUCGGUCUCAUCGCCAUCACUCUCCUUUCGACUCUCAGGUGUUGCGGAUUACCUUGAUUGCUACAAUGAUCACUCCAUAGCUCUAGGUUGAUCCCUAAGGAUGUGACAUCAUGUUGGGAAAUGGAGUUGUGUGUAUCCUAUCUGAGUCUUGUAAUGUAUGGGAAAGGAGAGCUCCAUUAACCCAUGCCCAAUGUGCUCGCCUUCUACUGCUCGCCUUCUACUCAGUGGAAACGGAAAUGGAGUUAGAUCGUAUAAUAAUUCAACCAAGCACUAAACGUAUCUAUUAUGAUCCACAAUAUGAGGAUGUUGGUUGUGAAGUAUCAGAUGAUCGAUCUAUCUGAAUGUGGUCUCAUUUUAGGAGUCAAGCAACCAAAGCUGGAGAUGAUUCUGCCAAAUGGAGCACAUGCAUACUUUUCCCACACCCACAAGGCUCAGAGUGAAAACAUGCCUUUGUUAGAUAAGAUUCUAUCUGAAAGGGUGUCACUAUAUGAU